GAAACACUCUGCUACAGAACAAGUGUCUUGGUUCACAGCAAAGAGGACAAAGAAAACAGCAAGUUUUAGGGGGUUGAAUCCUGGAUUUAAAAGAAGAGAAAAAACAUCAAUUAGAAAAUAGAAAAGAGCCCUCCCUGGUGAGUUCCUGCUUCUCCUCCAUGUCAUCAUAGGUGUUGAUGGUGCUUGCCUCUGGAUAAUGCUGACUUCCUCUAGAGUGGUCACCAAGGUGAAAUGUUGGUGCCAAAUGAACUUUUCUGGUUCUUCUGAAUUUCUUCCAAGGAUGGUGCAUACCUGAAUAUUCUAGAUGCCAAGGAGAGAACUUAAUUAAUAUGCAAUGGAUGCCCUAGAGUAGUAUGAGGACUUAAUUCUCU
rnacentral:lncRNA from 1 species